UGUAACCCGAGGACUGUCUGUAUAUUGAAUCUGUUGCUUUGAGUUAUCUACUUAGGAAAAAUAUAUAUUUUGACAGAAUUUCAAAGCUUCAGUAGAUUAAGAUAAUUUGCUUACUUUCUAAUAUUACAAGCAGAAAAAGAUAUUAUCUGUUAAAUGUGUAUUUAAUUUUUCACACAUUGGAACACAUAGGCUUUGUGUGCUUCUUCUGCUUUCUUCUGUUUGUGGGACCAAGUUGGAAUAGCUUCUCGUGCAGUUUAUAUUUGUUCUUUGGCUUAAUCUUUCAUACUUUAAUCUGGUUAAUCAUGGUAGCAGUUUUGAAUUUGAUAAGGAAGUGUACUGGGUAAGGGAGAUAGGAAGAGCG